CUUGUUUGUAGUGUGGGUAUCAGGAGAAUGAGGCAAGCCAAGCUGUGAGGAGUCUGUGGGUCAUGGCUUUGGCAGCGUGGAACCUGGGACAUAGAGUCCCCCUUGAUACGGCUGUUCAGCAGACCAACUUUGUUGUAAAUAUUUAGAUAAAAAUGGGCUUUAGAGCAGCCACAUCUGAAGACCCACAAGGCUGAAUGUUACACAGGGGGAGCACCAUUAUUUAAUCUGAACAUCUGGAAUCCAUCAUGUGUAGUGAAGGACAAGAUGUAUCCUCAUUUUUAAGCCAACUCCAUGAUAAAAUUGAUGGAUGGGACCAAUGUGUACAGCAAUCAGAAUCUGAUUGAAGAUAAACUCAUCCUAUUUGGAUCAGAGCAUUAGAAGAAAGAAAGAACUGACACUUCUCAACCUUCUCUAGUUGAAGACUUCUCUUUGCUAUAACUACUUGAAGAGUUCAGCAGAAAAAUUUUACUGAAGAAUCCCUGAUCCUCCUUUAAGUAGCUGUAGAGAAUAUUCACUAAGUGUAAUGGGACACGUCUCUCUCAUGCCCACUUCUUUUCUCUUAUCCCUGCAAGAAAAUGAAGUUUUGUUGGAGUCAGAGGUUUAUUUUAGUUUAUUUUAAUCAGAAACGUGUAUGAAAUCCAAAGCACAUGAUCUUCAUUUUUAAUAACGUAAACCAUCCCCAUGUUUAUGUGCUUUCUCUGGUCCUCAACCUUUUUUUUUCUUUUUAAUUUUAAGAACAUCUGUCCCCACUGCAACUUCACUUUCAUCAGGAAAUCUAAUUACAGAGAUAGAAAAGAGUAUAGUAGGUGAAGCAAAAGACAGCAGCUCCACCUCUUAAUACUGAAUACUUAGAUGACUGCCAGAUGAAUAGCUGGAUCCUUUUGUGGCUAACUAACUCACCUGGUGUAGAGAAAGACAGUUGAUAGAUCAAAAAAGUAUACAGAUAACAGAGAGCAAGUGAUAUGGAUAUGAAAGACAUUAGGGAGCAUACAAAUGCAGUUUGGCCAGGAUUUAUUUCUAGUUAUGGACUGAUGAGGAGACAUGGGGAAAAAUUGUCAAAUUAAAAAAAAUCUUUUUGGCAAAUUUAAACUUUGCCUCUAUCCUUUUUCUCUUAAUCUGCUACCCAGAUAUGCACUUCAAAUAGGAAUGUGGGCCUACUGGGGCAUGAAAUAGUUGAGAGCUAUUCAACAAUGAGGAGAAUGAGAGAAAUCUAUUUAGAAGGACAUUUUAGAAUUUAAGCCAGUUGAACCUUAAUAGUCACAGAUAAUUUAACAUGACCCCUAAACCAUUAGGGGGGUUUUUACUACAAGGACUUGGCUCUGUAUUAACAAUGUCAUCCUUCUUAGAAAUUGAUAACUAUAGAAGUUAUCCUAUGUGGAGUAAGAUAAGAAUGACUGCUCUUCAUGUUUACAAGAGAUUAGAGUGGAUAAGAACCAGGUGAAACAGGAAUCCCAAGGGAUCUCCUUCCUUCUCAGAGUCAUAGCCAUUCCAGGGAAUCUGCACAUUUUCUGGCUUUCCCAUUUCUAUCAGAUGGUUACUUAGGAACAAAUGAAAAUCAGCAAAAGUGCCAUGAUAAUUAUCACAAAUUCGUAUGAAAUAAUGAGGCAGUUGAAUGCAUUUUUUCUGUCUUAUCUCUGUUUGUCAAUGAGCUAAACAGUGUGUUCAGGUCCCUCUGAAUACUUGGAGGAGCAAGAUUCUUUAGCCUUGUCUCACUGAUUCCCAAAGUUUAUCUAAGUCUUUCCAGAGGAGGACCUCUAUUGUCAACACUUGAUAGCCAAACCCUUCCUUUGUUUUUUUCCUUCUAUACACUACUUGUUAAUCAACUUGCACAAAACCAAUUUCUGGUUCAACUUUGUCCUGAGCUGCUAACUGGCUAUGACUUUAUUUUACAGGUGCAGUAACUUUGUUAGCUGUUAUUUUGAGGAGCUCCAGCCAUGGGCUCAUUUGAUAGAUUUAAUUGCCAACAUCUUGAACAAACCCCUUGAUUUUAAAAUUUUAAUUUAGCAUGUUUAACAUGAAAGAGGAUUGCCGAAUAAGUGUCCCAUUUGAUUUACUCUAUAAGUAAUACAGCUGUUUGUCUUUAUUUGAAAAAUAAAGGUAGACACUUAGAAAUGAAAGAUGAAA
rnacentral:lncRNA from 1 species